UUUAAAGCAACUCUUUCAUUCUGAGAUAAUAUUUAAAAUCAGAAAAAAAUGUUUCCGUGCAAAAAAUGAAGGAUUGACUUAAUGUAUACAACUCAAAAUCAAAGUAAAUAUUGCAAGGGUUUUCUAAACUAAAUUUAACGACAUUAUUAAACUUAUCAUUAAAAAUGAUAAAUUGCCCUUCAAAUAGAGAAAAAAAAUCGACAGAUCAACUUCAAAUCGGACAGAAGUUCAGAAAUAAAUGCAUGGCUUCACCUCGGCAAGUGCCUCUCUCAUUUCGUUUUCACAACAGAGUCUGUUCAUUUUCUUUGUUUUUAUGUCUACCAUCCUCAUAAAGGAUUUCUCAAAAAAUAUAUGUUUUAUUAAGGGUAUGAGUAUAUCGAGGGAUUUCUUUGCAAUAAGAGGGUAUGGUACGAUUUCCCGACACUAAAACGUUGACAGUGUUGUUGUUCUGAAGAGUUGCCGUUGAAGCUGGCUCUGCUGAAGUUCAAUGAUUUCAUCGAGAUAUUCAUCGUUCACGUCUGCUGUUGGAACACUAAACGUGAAAAGAUGUCUCAACCAUGACCCUGUAGUGGGGAAAUAUCCCUCAAGAGACUUUGUAAAAUCUUCUAAGUGCAUGGCAAUGACUUGCUUCAGCUCUACAUAAGUACCUCGAAUUCCGAGCCUAUUUCCUUAAACAGCUCUUUGAAGAUACGGUGCUUCAUAGCACUAUUUCGCACAUAGUUCACACAUUCAACAACAACUUUUAAUACUUGCACUUCUUUUAGAGGCUAAGUUUUUGCUGUCAACGAAUACAUUUGCAGAACACAUUGCGUAACAAUGAUGUGUGGUUCAUCGGAUUUCACCAGCGCUUCAGAACCAGAGUGUAGUCUCAGCAUCUUUCAUAUAGCGCACAAAUACGACAAGCUGGCUUAGAUUAAAAAUGUCAGUGGUCUCAUCGAGUUGGAGGCUGAAUUUUACAGGUCUUGAAAUAAAAUCUGCAACUACUUAAGCCAAGAUGUUAUUGCUACUGUCGUUUAUUCUCUUACUGAUAGUGUCAUUUGAAAGAGGAAUUUGAGGUAACUUAUCUUCAGCAGCUUUUCCCAGCCUUAUAUUCGCCAUCUUCAUCGCGUUUCAAUGUUUCACCAAUGGUGUGUGGUUUGUCCUGCUUUGCGAUGAGGAAUGCAACUUAGUACGAUGUUGUGAGGAUUGGGUUGUCCAUGGGUAUAAAGCGGAGAACAGGCAGAGUAGCCUUUUCAUCAAAUUUGGAUCUCUUCACCUUGAAUUUAGCAAGUGUUGUGUUCUUUUAUUUCCCAUCUCCAUACAGCUUUAGGGAGUGUUCCUUCAGUUUCGCAGGUACUAGACUAGAAUUGCUCAACUUGGCAGUGCAAAUUAUGUAUUGAGGACGCUGACUCCCAUCACGUUCCUUUAUACACGUGAAUCCAUAUUUUGCGUAUUCAUCAAACCACUUUUUUUUUAAUGGACAUAGUAAGAAGGGAUUGAAAGAUUUUAGAUUAUACAUUAAGACCGGAAUGAAGAUUGUUCUACAUAGCUAUUUAUACAAAUUUGAACAUGUAAUAUCUCCAUGAAAAUUCAAUUUAUUUGAACUUUUGAUUUUGCCAAGGACACUCAUGAUGAUCGAGAUAAUACCUUAUUAUGAUAUAUUUAGAUAUGAAGUAUUUCUAAUAUUAAUAUUUGUUGCUAUAUUCAUAGGAAAAAGCUAAAAAAUGCCGCACUUGACAUUUUUAACGUAGAGUCACGACAUUGUUUCUUUUUUUUAUCUUCACUUCUUUUUUAUUUUAUACGAUAGUCGAUACAUUAGAAAAAGAACAAGGGGAAAUGUACAAAUAUUGAGACUCGAAAAUACAUUUUUAAUAUAAAAAGUAUCAUUUCGAUAUGAGAGAGGCUUAAUCAAUUUUUUUCUUGUUUAACAACCAUUAAAAUAGUCUUAUCUGUAAUUAGAGUCUAGCUAGUAAAUGGACAUGGGGGCUUGCCGAACCCCUGGGGUUCGAUCGAACCCAGGUUAAGAACCACUGCUCUAGAAAUUAGAUUUAAAUUAUGAGUCCCUAAUGUAAUAAAUAAACAUUAACAAUUUCAUUAAACAUGUAAAAAUAAAUUAUUUUUAAUUUAUAGUUUGUAAUAAUAUUGAGUGAUCUAGUCUCUGAAUCCAACCAUUCGAUUUAUGCGACUCGAAAUCCAUUUGACUCAUUAUUCAAAUACACUCUAUCAACUUUAUGAAUUAAUCAAAUUAAUAUCCAAAGGUCAAUCGAAGAAUAUUAGUUAAUUAUUUGAAUGAAACUUACUACAUAAUGAUCCUGUACAAACACAAACUGAAGUUGAUAAUUUUAUUUUUGAACGACAAAUUCAUGAGUUAUAAUAAUUAGUUUAA
rnacentral:lncRNA from 1 species